CUCUAAAAUAUGGUUAUUAAAACUCCCACUUUUCGAUUGUCAUCAUUAAUCUGUUCAAUUGUGAUUUAUGGUCAUUAGUAGUACUAUUAAAUAAAUUAAAUCAAUAGCCCAUAAUACAUAAUUCAAUAUUAAAUAAAAUGAGUUAAGGUUUAAAAAGUAAAACUAAUAGUAAUCAAAAUCAGGAACAAUCCCUAAAUCAAAACCGCCGCUUUUCUUCUCAUCUUCUGUCGCCGCUUUUUCUCCGGCCAACACUAUCAACAAUGAUUGCUGCCAUCUCCUGGGUUCCGAAAGGAUUCGCAAAUUCAGUACCCACCGCAGCAGACCCUCCUUCCAAAGAAGAAAUCGAAGAGAUUGUAAAGAGUGGCCUUUUGGAUACUCGCGAAGGGAGUGAAAAUGAUGAUGAUAUGAGUGACGAUGAGCUCGGUCAAGAUGAUGAUCUUUCUAAUGCAUUAUCUGCUGCUAAUGCACUUGGAAAAGCUAUCAAGACUGGAAACCCCGAAGCCGACAGCUUGACAGAAGCAUUGAAGGAGCUGGACAUGGAUAAUUAUGAUGAAGAAGAUGAUGGUGCUGAGCUGUUUGGAUCUUCCAACUUAUACUAUGCAAGUAACAAAAUGGACCCUUAUUUGAAGGAUGGUGAUGAAGACUCUGAAGAGGAAGAGGAUAUGACCAUAAAACCAGAGGAUGGUAUCAUAGUGUGUGCCAGGAAUGAGGAUGAUGUCAGCCAUCUCGAGGCAUGUGGGUUUUUUUUUUAUCUCGAGGUUUGGAUAUUGGAAGACCCUUCAGAUGUUAAUUCAAACAUGUAUGUACACCAUGAUGUUGUCAUUCCAGCGUUUCCCCUUUGCACAGCAUGGCUUGAUUGUCCCAUCAAAGGUGGAGAAAAAGGAAACUUUAUUGCGGUUGGGUCAAUGGAACCAGCUAUUGAGAUAUGGGACCUUGAUAUAAUGGAUGAGGUCCAACCAUCUGCUACAUUAGGUGGUGUUGCUGAAAUGAAGAAAAAGGGGAAGAAGAAAUCCAUUAAAUAUAAGGAUGGCAGCCACACAGAUUCAGUUCUUGGACUUGCUUGGAACAAGGAGUAUAGAGAAUAUACUUGGAGAACGAUUAAGUGACAGCUCAAAAUUGGCAAAAAAAUUCCGAAAUCCAAAAAGGCAGAGCUUAAUCAAGAACAAAAAUUGUAAAAUUCAGAGAUAGAGUUCAAGCACUGCUCAUCAACUUACAUGUUGAAGUCCUCUCACUGGAUGGAUGAAGAUUAUGCCCUUGCAUUAUAUUGCGAAAACCAGUGCGUCUCUAGGUUAAAUCAUAAAAUCAGGAUUCAAGCAUCAAGUUUUAUGUGAAUGCAAAUCCUGCAAUUGCUCAUGAGAUGAAUGUUUCACAAGGGAGACUUCGAUAUACUCACAUCCUAUCACUCAUAUUACUUGAAAUGUGAGAAGAAGGAAUCAUACUGUCUAUUGUUCUGCUU